GCUUUCUAACCCGCACCACUUAUCGUGGUGGGAGACAGUGUCAGGCGGGCAGUUUGACUGGGGCGGUCGCCUCCUAAAAGGUAACGGAGGCGCUCAAAGGUUCCCUCAGAAUGGUUGGAAAUCAUUCGUAGAGUGUAAAGGCAUAAGGGUGCUUGACUGCGAGACCUACAAGUCGAGCAGGGUCGAAAGACGGACUUAGUGAUCCGGAGGUUCCGCAUGGAAGGGCCAUCGCUCAACGGAUAAAAGCUACCCCGGGGAUAACAGGCUUAUCUCCCCC
rnacentral:rRNA from 1 species